AAACGCUUGAAGUCAGUCGCGUUGGCUGAGAAUCAACCUUGCUUUGCUUGGUGUACUUCUUAGUCGACGGGUCAACAUCAAUUUCGAUCGCCGGAUAAAGGCUUUGGGAAUGUGGCAUCUCUUGGGAUGUGUUAUAGCCCUUGGUCGCAUACGACGGUCGGGAUUGAGGAACUCAGAAUGCCC
rnacentral:rRNA from 1 species